UUUUAGAUUUAAUAAUCAGAUUAUAAAUUAGAUCUAAUCUAAAAAAUAAUCUAAGCAUGUAUAAAUAAUCAUGUAAUAAAGAACCUAGGCUCUGAUACCAAUUGUAGGAACCAGAUCUAGGAUUUCAGGGUUAGAUCUUGAAACUUUUUCAAGAUCAUACAGCGGAAGACUAAAAUAAAUCAAAAUUUAUUUUUUAAAAUUAGAGAAUCCUUAGAUCUAAGAUCUUAUUACAUGAUUAUUACAUAGUAUUAAAUCAAAAAUUAAAAUAUAUAAAUAUAGCAUGAACUACAUGUUGAUCAUAUCAACAUGUUUCUAUACCACAUCUAAUGUAUGUAUUAAACAAUAGAUCAGAUCUAUUACCUUGUAAGUUAGAUGCUCUAACCUAGCUGAUCCGGGCUUAAGGAUGAUGUUGCAAGCCGCACACGUGUUCGGCCUCUAGGAGUCAUCCACACGAGCCCACGAAUCUCGAUCAGAAGUC
rnacentral:lncRNA from 1 species